GACGAACGCUGGCGGCGUGCUUAACACAUGCAAGUCGAACGCUGAAGCUCAGCUUUUGUUGGGUGGAUGAGUGGCGAACGGGUGAGUAACACGUGAGUAACCUGCCCCCUUCUUUGGGAUAACGCCCGGAAACGGGUGCUAAUACUGGAUAUUCACUGGUCUUCGCAUGGGGGUUGGUGGAAAGGGUUUUUCUGGUGGGGGAUGGGCUCGCGGCCUAUCAGCUUGUUGGUGGGGUGAUGGCCUACCAAGGCUUUGACGGGUAGCCGGCCUGAGAGGGUGACCGGUCACAUUGGGACUGAGAUACGGCCCAGACUCCUACGGGAGGCAGCAGUGGGGAAUAUUGCACAAUGGGCGCAAGCCUGAUGCGGCGACGCCGCGUGAGGGAUGGAGGCCUUCGGGUUGUGAACCUCUUUCGCUCAUGGUCAAGCCGCAACAAUGGUUGUGGUGAGGGUAGUGGGUAAAGAAGCGCCGGCUAACUACGUG
rnacentral:rRNA from 1 species